ensembl:scaRNA small Cajal body-specific RNA 13
GUUUUGCAGCCUUGUAAACCUGCUCCUGGCUAAGAUUAUUGCUUGUGGGCACAACAAGGUUGCAGAAAGCAUCCCAAAGGAUGAAAAGGCGUGACUUCCAGAGGUCUGGGAAUUCCACGUGCGAUGUUCUUUGAACAAACACCUGCUUUCCACGGUGGCGAUGGGCUUGUUCUGUAGCCAUCGCAUUUCUUGAGGCAGGUAGAAAAAAACAGCAUGAUAUUGUUUGAAGCGGGGAGAGCUGUUCCCGUCAGACACUGUCCGCUGUCACAGCA